AGCCAGCGUGGCAAGCUCGAUACCUCAACAGGCCACAACGGCUUCUCCUCUGGCUCGGCCUCUCUACCUCCUCAAUCAUGUCCUUGUAAUUGUAGUAAAUCUUUUUGUUUCUCCAUUUUGUUACAUAUUCUUGUUAAUCAAGAAAAAGCUCUAUAACUCAAGUCAUAACCAUGUAAUUGUAAAUCUUUUCUUAUCGUAAUUAGUUUAUUAGCUAAAGGUACAAAAAUGUGAUGAUGUCUUAAAGCAAACAUUCUAUCUAAUUAAUUGCGUGAAAAAACUUGUUUCGUUAGUCCACUAUCGUGUAUAAAUCAAAACACUAGGAACUUUGAUUGGAUAAGGUUUGUUUCAUGUUGCUUGUAGUUCAAACGAUGCCGUUUUGCUUUCAUUCUCCAUUACCCAAUAUAAAAACAGAGAGACAAAAAAGUGCUUCGAAAAUACGAAAGGCUUAGAAAUGGUGGUGACGUCUUUCUCUUCACCGCCGCCUAUCUUCUUCCUCCCUGGAGCUGAUCCUCACCUUUCUUCUUCCAAUGGACGCCUCGCGAUUCCUUCCUCUUCUCUCGCGUAAGCCUUUCUCACAAAUCUCUUUUUGAAUUUGACGUUGCGUAUUUAGUGUUCUUGUAAUUUUCGCAAUCCGUGUUCUGGGUUUGUGAUUUCUGUUGCUACUUAUCACUAAAUUCUCUGUUUUUUCUUCUUAACUUCUGAAACCAGAACUUCGCAAUCCGUGUUCUAGCGUAAUUGCCACCAGUCUCCAAUUGUGUGACUUGAUUUCUUCUCUGUUGUAUCUAUGGUUUUUAUUAU
rnacentral:lncRNA from 1 species